CACGUGGGUGAUCUGCCCUGCACUUCGGGAUAAGCCUGGGAAACUGGGUCUAAUACCGGAUAGGACGAUGGUUUGGAUGCCAUUGUGGAAAGUUUUUUCGGUGUGGGAUGAGCUCGCGGCCUAUCAGCUUGUUGGUGGGGUAAUGGCCUACCAAGGCGUCGACGGGUAGCCGGCCUGAGAGGGUGUACGGCCACAUUGGGACUGAGAUACGGCCCAG
rnacentral:rRNA from 1 species